ensembl:lncRNA
AUGCUCAGAUCCAGCGGUGUGGGAUUUCGUAUCCGUUCCCCAGUCACCAUGGAGGAGCGGAGGGGUAGACUCCGGAACUUAACCACCCUUCGUCAAAGGGGGCGUGAGAUGGGUAAUCUGGCUCAAGCGUUUUGGACUAUGGCGGUAGGGCUGGGGUAUAACGAUGAGGCACUAAAGGGUUUGUUUAAUGACUGCCUGGAUGACCCUUUGCCUCGGUGGGAGAUGAAGGGGCUGGAGAUCCUAGACUUUUGGGGGUUCACCAAGUACCUGCACCAUCGUGCUCAGUGGGAUGCAGUAACCACAUCUGAGUCUCCAGACAAGACUGCCGCCAGCCCAGCACCACAGCACAAGAGGGCCGCCAGCCCAGAACCAUUGCACAAGAUGGCCGAAUCUACACCUGUGUUGCCAGACAAGAUGGCUGACUCAACGCCUGAGUUUCCCGUCAAGGUGCCACCGACUCGCCAUCAUAGAGGGCGGAGGAGGAGGAGACAGGCGUCUACCGUUCCUCAAAGCCCGGAGGACGUUCCCGAGCAGGCCGCUGCCGUCCAGGGGGACGUUCCCGAGCAGGCCGCUGCCGUCCAGGGGGACGUUCCCGAGCAGGCCGCUGCCGUCCAGGGGGACGUUCCCGAGCAGGCCGCUGCCGUCCCCGAGGCGGUGCCUGAUGCCGUUCCGGAGGUCAAGGCGGUGCCCGAGGCAGUGCCCGUGUCCAAGGCCGUCCCCGAGGCGGUGCCCGAUGCUGUUCCGGAGGCCGAGGCGGUGCCCGAUGCGGUUCCGGAGGCCGAGGCGGUGCCCGAGGCCGAUGCCGUUCCGGAGGCCGAGGCGCCUCACGUCUCCACAGGCCGUCCAGAGCACCUUCACGUCUUCGCAGGGCCUCCGGAAGGGCAGGUUCCGCUCUGGUCGCUCAAGUGGCGGGUUCCUCCCUGGCCAUCGCCACAGCCUGCUCCCCGAAUGGCAGGUUCCGUUCUGGCCACUCAAAUGGUGAGUUCCUCCCUGGCCGUCUGCACAACUAGAAUGGACUGAUCCUCCGUGGCCACCUGAACUGCCUGGUCCCUCGUGGUCCCCUGAACUUUCGGGUCCACCCUGGCCCCCUGAACUGACUGAUCCACCUUGGCUGCCGGUGGAGCCAUCACUGCCGGUCUCUGUUCUCCUACACGGGCCUGGCCCUCCAUCCCUCCAUCCCUCCCCCUGUUCUACCUCCACCAGUCCACCUCCCUCCUGGUCUCUUGGUUUUGUGUUUGUUUUGUUCUGAGGAGCAUUUGGAAGCUGCUCCUUAGAGGGGGGGUAGUGUCACAGUGUCUGGUUUGUGUAUCCCUGGGUGUCCGCUAGAGGUCUCACUUCCCCAUAUCAUCACCCCACCUCAGGAACUACAUUUCCCACAGUCUUGUUGAUACUCAUCACUGUUCAUUGCACUCAGCUGUCCCUGGUCAUCAAUCACUGCACUCAGCCAAUUCCCCGUUAGUAUUGUCAUUUCCCUGUGUAUAAAUACCCCGGUUGUUCUGUCAUUGUUACGGAGUCCUUGUUUAAUGUCACCCUGGUUUGUUGUAUUUCCUUGCCGUUGUUUAUGUUUCUUGUUUAUGGACUGCUUACCUGGAUUUUGACCCUUGCCUGAUUGGAUUAUGAUAUUCGGAUUAUCCCAAUAAAACACUGCGUUUGGAUCUAUCUCUUUGUGUGCGUGUCGUGACACAUGCAGUUGUAAGAGCUUUUAAUUCUGCUAAUUGAGCAGAGCAAGGCUGUACACAAUGUUGUGAUAUCACAGGUUCAAAUUAUUUUUUGUUUCUCUUCACUACUGAAUAUCCUGUAUGAUUUCCAUGGUCUCUAAAGCUAGAACCAUCUACGAAGUAAGUGACUUCUGCUUCAGGGAUAGGUGUUGAUUCAAGGUCUGGUCGUAAUCUAGUAAAUGCCAGUGACUCAUUCUCACAAUCAUAAGGUUUUUCUUCAAAAGCCAAAGGAAUUAAUUCAGAUAGAUUAACCGUAUGGCAUAGCUUAAUGGUAACAUCUGGAUAUGUGAGUAGUGAGGAAUAGGCUAGAAUUCGAGCUUGUGUCAGGACAAAUUUCAAUUGUUCUAUUAAUUCCACAAUUUUGUGAUGAGUGUAUAUAUAGCUAUUGGGUACCCCAUAGUUAUUGUGUAUGCUUUUUCAUAAGCAUUAUAUACUGCUGCAAAGCCUUGUUGGUAACAUGGUGGGUAUCCCUCGGCUACAUUGUCUAACUUUGUGCUGUAAUAUGAUAUAAGCUGUUUUGUCCUCCCUCUGUAAGUAUCUUGCAUCAGUACAGCUGAUGCAUAACCAUCAGCUCUAUUUGCCACAUAUAGAUUAAACAUUUUAUCAUAUUUUGCCGUUCCCAGGGCAGGGGCCUGUUGUAGUUCUUUUUUUAUCGUUUCAAAUGCUAGUAAUGCAUCUGUGUUACAUUUUAAUGGAUUGCUCAAAUUGUGUAAUCUUGCUUGUUUCAUGAUCUCUCUCAAUGGCCCUGUCUUUACUGCAUAGUCUUCUAUCCAGUCGGCACUAAAGCCAGUCAUUCAUAGGAAAGUCAUCAUUUGUCCUACUGUCUGAGGCAAUGGUGUUUUACUUAUGCCUUCUAAUUGAGCUGGAGCUAUAGCUCACGUGCCAAAUGCAAUCAAUCUUCCCAAGUAUUCAACUUGAGGCUGGCAAUACUGUAAUUUGUUUUUGGACACCUUGUGUCCUCCUUGCACUAAUUUUGUCAAUACUUUAAUUGAAUCUUUGUUACAUUGUUCUAGUGAGGAAGAACAGAUAAUUAAAUCAUCCAUAUGUUGUUACCGUUUAUUAUGAGAUCUUCUAAAUCAGCCUUAAGAAUUUUAUUAAAUAAAUGUGGCGAAUGUUUAUAUCCCUGAGGAAUGUAUGUAUACUGUUUACCUGCAUAUGUGAAGGUAAACAGAUACCUACUCUCUUCUGCAAGUGGUACACUGAAGUAGGUGGAGCAAAGAUCAAUUAUGGUAAAGUAUUUGGCAUCAGGAGGGACAUUUGUCAGCAAUGUGUGCAGGUUCGCUAUCUGUUUUUGUCUGAUUUAACCCUCUGGAGUCGGCUAUUGCGGAUACUCAUUUUGAGGCAAAUUCUCCUGAUAAGACCAAAAAGAACUUAAAUUACACUUUCAGUUUUGAUCGUACUGAUAAGAGCAAUACAUCAAACAAAUCUGUAAAGGGUCUACUUUUAUUUGUAUACACACGUUAACAACAAAACUUUGUGCAUUUAUAAAAUAAAGAAAACAAACAGAGUGCGCUGUCUGCAGCCUUGGUCUGCGGUGAUCUUCAUUUAGAAAUGUGUCAUUAAAAUGAACUGUAACUCAGCAAAUACUCAACAAAGAGAC